rnacentral:rRNA from 1 species
GACGAACGCUGGCGGCGUGCUUAACACAUGCAAGUCGAACGGAAAGGCCUCUUUCGGGGGGUACUCGAGUGGCGAACGGGUGAGUAACACGGGAGUAACCUGCCCUUGACUUUGGGAUAACUUCAGGAAACUGGGGCUAAUACCGGAUAGGAGCUCCUGCUGCAUGGUGGGGGUUGGAAAGGUUCGGCGGUUGGGGAUGGACUGGCGGCUUAUCAGCUUGUUGGUGGGGUAGUGGCUUACCAAGGCUUUGACGGGUAGCCGGCCUGAGAGGGUGAACGGCCACAUUGGGACUGAGAUACGGCCCAGACUCCUACGGGGGGCAGCAGUGGGGAAUAUUGCACAAUGGGUGGAAGCCUGAUGCAGCAACGCCGGGGGCGGGAUGACGGGCUUCGGGUUGUAAACCGCUUUCGCUCAUGACGAAGCUUUGUGUGACGGUAGUGGGUAAAGAAGCACCGGCUAACUACGUG